AUUGAACGCUGGCGGCAGGCCUAACACAUGCAAGUCGAGCGAGCGGCGGACGGGUGAGUAAUGUAUGGGGACUGCCCGAUAGAGGGGGAUCACUACUGGAAACGGUAGCUAAUACCGCAUACUAUCGGAUAACCCAUAUGGGAUUAGCUAGUAGGUGAGGUAAUGGCUCACCUAGGCGACGAUCCCUAGCUGGUCUGAGAGGAUGAUCAGCCCCACUGGGACGGAGACACGGCCCAGACUCCGACGGAGGCAGCAGGGGGGAAUAUUGCACAAUGGUCGAAAGCCUAAUACAGACAUGCAGCGUGUAUUAAGAAGUCCCUAGGGUUGUAAAAUACUUUCAGUCAGGUGGCGUUUCCGGCAGAAGAAGCACCGGCUAACUCCGUACCAGCAUCCGCAGUAAUAC
rnacentral:rRNA from 1 species